rnacentral:tRNA from 2 species
GGGCGCUUAGCUCAGUUGGUUAGAGCGCGUGCUUCACACGCACGAGGUCAUAGGUUCGAGUCCUAUAGCGCCCACCA